GCGUGGUGUGAGACAGCUGAUGAGUUUUGACUUUGGACGGCCUCCUGGGCCCCCGAGGGCCCUCCGACAGAGGUAAACACUAUCUGCUGAUGUCUAAGUCUAAGGACUCUAAAUUUUAAACAGACAUGAAGACGUUUGAUGUGUUUGCCCGCGAUUUUGGCAUGACAAUCCCAAGGCUACGCGCCGUCUAGCUAGAAGGCAACGCCAGCUGGCUGCGCCCAGCAGCAGCAGAAGUUGCGUGCGCAACAGGAAGGGUUCGCAUCAUUUCCUUUUUU
rnacentral:lncRNA from 1 species